rnacentral:snRNA from 1 species
GGAUGUGUAGGCGAUCUGGCUGCGACAUCUGUCACCCCACUGAUUGCCAGCAUUGAUUCGGCUCAUCUGGCUGGCCAAGUGGGUGUCCCCUUCCUCCCUCACUGCUCCAUGUGCGUCCCUCCCGAAGCUGUGCACUCAGUCAAAGAGGACGACCUUCCCUGGUAGAGGAAGGACAGUUCUUCGAUCAAGGGUAUACGACGAGUAGCUGCGCUCCCUUGCUAGAACCUCCAAACAACCUCCCCGUACAUAGAAAAGGCCAUGUGAACAUGGAGGCUGAGAUUGGAGUGAUGUGUUCACAAGCCAGGGGACACCAGGAAUUGCCUGCAGCCACAAG